AAAAGAACUUAAAAUAAAAAAUACCUUGGUACUCAUAAAAGAAUAAAAACCAUAAGUUUAUAAUGGUCAAGAUAUCUCCAUCCAUAAGAUAAUUUAAAAAAAAUCAAGAUAGCCAUAAAUAUCAUUCAAUCAUGGAAGUAGAAUAACCAUAAAUACCAUCUAGUGGUAGAGAAGUGGUAUCCAAUCGCAAAACCUAGAAUGAUAAUAUGUUUC
rnacentral:lncRNA from 1 species